UACGGAGGGUGCGAGCGUUGUCCGGAAUCACUGGGCGUAAAGGGCGCGUAGGUGGCUUGUCAAGCGCGCGGUGAAAGCCCGGGGCUCAACCCCGGAAUUGCCUUUAAGACUGCAUCGCUAGAAUUGUGGAGAGGUGAGUGGAAUUCCGAGUGUAGAGGUGAAAUUCGUAGAUAUUCGGAAGAACACCAGUGGCGAAGGCGACUCACUGGACACAUAUUGACGCUGAGGUGCGAAAGCGCGGGGAGCAAACAGG
rnacentral:rRNA from 1 species